CAUAGCAAAGAAAAUAAAACAAAAACACAAUCUAGCUUAAAUUUUUGAAAAUAAUUUCUCCUAAUUUACUUAGAGCUGAGAAAAUACACAAGUAAGGCCCAAAUCUAUUAUAUGGGCCAAGCAAACAAAUAUACCUCUAAACUAGGGUUCUCAAGGGUAUAUAUUCACAACUACGCUUCAUUUCCUCUCUUUGUUACCGUCACCGUGAAUUCGCCGACUAGGGUUUCAAGAAAAAGAGUUUCUCCGACAUGAGAGCCAAGUGGAAGAAGAAGCGUAUGAGGAGGCUUAAGAGGAAGAGACGAAAGAUGAGACAGCGAUCUAAGUAGACUCAGAGAGAGACUGACUCCUCUUGAAAGACUUUGCUUUUCCAUCUGCUUCCUUUGUUUUCCCUCAUUUCUGUUUCGCUAGAGAUCUUUAAAAGUACUUUUGGUUUGGUCUCAUUUCAGUUUUUUUAAGUGUUUGUAGCUUUGUUUUUGUCGGAUUGUAGAGAUCCUCAAUUAAUGGCAAUGCUAUAUGUUUUUAUCA